AAUAAGAUGCCUGAUUAAAGGAUUAUUUUGAUAGAAUAAAUUAUGUAGUUGUUUUACUCUUAUUA
rnacentral:tRNA from 1 species